GACGAACGCUGGCGGCGUGCUUAACACAUGCAAGUCGAACGGAAAGGCCAUGCUUUUGUGGGGUGCUCGAGUGGCGAACGGGUGAGUAACACGUGAGUAAAAUGCCCUUGACUUUGGGAUAACAUCAGGAAACUGCGGCUAAUACCGGGUAGGAGCUCCUGAUGCAUGGUGGUGGUUGGAGAGUGUCGGCGGUGCGGGAUGGACUCGCGGCUUAUCAGCUUGUUGGUGGGGUAGUGGCUUACCAAGUCUUUGACGGGUAGCCGGCCUUGGAGGGUGACCGGCCACAUUGGGACUGAGAUACGGCCCAGACUCCUACGGGAGGCAGCAGUGGGGAAUAUUGCACAGUGGGCGGAAGCCUGUUGCAGCAACGCCGCGUGCGGGAUGACGGCCUUCGGGUUGUAAACCGCUUUCGCCUGUGACGAAGCGUGAGUGACGGUAAUGGGUAAAGAAGCACCGGCUAACUACGUG
rnacentral:rRNA from 1 species